AAGAAAUCUGUUCAAACUACAACCCUUUUGUAUACUUCUGAGGUGCCUGACUAAAAGGACUUCAUUUAUUUAUGAGAAAAAUUUACUUUAUGUUAAGAACAGUCUUCAACCAUUAGCUUAAUAUUUUUUAGGGUGAAUGCUUAUGAAGCUGAUGUGAGAACAUCUCAGAAGAACUGGGCAGGUUACUUGACCUUCUGCUUGCUUCUAUGAACAUUGUGAAUAUUACACAUUUCUUUCUAAAUUAUUUGAAAGUAUGCAAAUGGAUUUGGUAUGAUACACCACUGUACUGGAGGAAUUAAUAUAUUACCUAGUUAUGUACCUGAGCUAAAUGAUUGAAAGUUCUAGGGGUGCAUAGAAACCAACAUAAUUUGUAUGACAUUUUGAAGUGAAUUAAAUAUUUUUGAACAUGCUAGUCCGACAGCCAGUGUUAUAUUUUUCAGAUCAGCGCAAAGCACAACUACUGCUCAACUCAAUGUUUUCAGAUUCCCAUAAAGUCACGCAAGCUGCAACUUCCCAGUCAAAAUUACUGGCUGCCAAAUUUAUACCUGUUUCUUCAACUGUACCUUUUUGAUAUUUAGAAUUUUUAAAUUUCUGUAAAGUAGAUUUUGUAGAUUGUAAUGUGUUCACUGCCUUUGUGAAGCGGUAUAUAAUUGUAUAAUUUCUGUGUGUAAACUGAAUGCUUGGGCUUUCAAUACAGUAUUCAUAUAAAGCAAUAAAUAUUAAUGUUAUAAAAUAUUCGAGUACAUUUUUAUCAAAACAAAAGGAUACGUUUUUUAGUUUUAGAUGCCUGAAAUACACAAAUGGAUGAAAAAGUUGACGCAAUUUCUGAUACCGUAUCAUAUGCUUUACGAAUGAUUUGGGGAAAAACACAGGUUGUGGAUUUUGUCUGUUUAAAUUUUCUUUACCAAAACACCAGAAUAAUUUGGCUCAGUUUCUAUAUUUGUAGAGUACUUAUUACUGACUGUCUUGUCUGUCAGGUUCACAGCAGCCAGAGGAUAUAUUUAAGAAUGUUUGAUAGUUAAAAAAUAAACAAACAAACAAAAAAAACACAACACGGCACGUUGAUUAGUGUCUCCCAGAGAGAAAAGAAAAUCAAACAUUGUAAAUUUUUUUUUAUUUUUUCAAAAUUGCUAACUGCAGAUGUGUUUAAUAAAAAAUAAACGUUCAAAAUGUUGAAAUGAAGCAAGGUUAAAUAUGAC
rnacentral:lncRNA from 1 species